CGGCGUGCUUAACACAUGCAAGUCGAACGGAAAGGCCCUGCUUUUGUGGGGUGCUCGAGUGGCGAACGGGUGAGUAACACGUGAGUAACCUGCCCUUGACUUUGGGAUAACUUCAGGAAACUGGGGCUAAUACCGGAUAGGAGCUCCUGCUGCAUGGUGGGGGUUGGAAAGUUUCGGCGGUUGGGGAUGGACUCGCGGCUUAUCAGCUUGUUGGUGGGGUAGUGGCUUACCAAGGCUUUGACGGGUAGCCGGCCUGAGAGGGUGACCGGCCACAUUGGGACUGAGAUACGGCCCAGACUCCUACGGGAGGCAGCAGUGGGGAAUAUUGCACAAUGGGCGGAAGCCUGAUGCAGCAACGCCGCGUGCGGGAUGACGGCCUUCGGGUUGUAAACCGCUUUCGCCUGUGACGAAGCGUGAGUGACGGUAAUGGGUAAAGAAGCACCGGCUAACUACGUGCCAGCAGCCGCGGUGAUACGUAGGGUGCGAGCGUUGUCCGGAUUUAUUGGGCGUAAAGGGCUCGUAGGUGGUUGAUCGCGUCGGAAGUGUAAUCUUGGGGCUUAACCCUGAGCGUGCUUUCGAUACGGGUUGACUUGAGGAAGGUAGGGGAGAAUGGAAUUCCUGGUGGAGCGGUGGAAUGCGCAGAUAUCAGGAGGAACACCAGUGGCGAAGGCGGUUCUCUGGGCCUUUCCUGACGCUGAGGAGCGAAAGCGUGGGGAGCGAACAGGCUUAGAUACCCUGGUAGUCCACGCUGUAAACGGUGGGUACUAGGUGUGGGGUCCAUUCCACGGGUUCCGUGCCGUAGCUAACGCUUUAAGUACCCCGCCUGGGGAGUACGGCCGCAAGGCUAAAACUCAAAGGAAUUGACGGGGCCCCGCACAAGCGGCGGAGCAUGCGGAUUAAUUCGAUGCAACGCGUAGAACCUUACCUGGGUUUGACAUGGAUCGGGAGUGCUCAGAGAUGGGUGUGCCUCUUUUGGGGUCGGUUCACAGGUGGUGCAUGGCUGUCGUCAGCUCGUGUCGUGAGAUGUUGGGUUAAGUCCCGCAACGAGCGCAACCCUUGUUCACUGUUGCCAGCACGUUAUGGUGGGGACUCAGUGGAGACCGCCGGGGUCAACUCGGAGGAAGGUGGGGAUGACGUCAAGUCAUCAUGCCCCUUAUGUCCAGGGCUUCACGCAUGCUACAAUGGCUGGUACAGAGAGUGGCGAGCCUGUGAGGGUGAGCGAAUCUCGGAAAGCCGGUCUCAGUUCGGAUUGGGGUCUGCAACUCGACCUCAUGAAGUCGGAGUCGCUAGUAAUCGCAGAUCAGCAACGCUGCGGUGAAUACGUUCCCGGGGCUUGUACACACCGCCCGUCAAGUCAUGAAAGUUGGUAACACCCGAAGCCGGUGGCCUAACCGUUGUGGGGGAGCCGUCGAAGGUGGGACUGGUGAUUAGGACUAAA
rnacentral:rRNA from 1 species